rnacentral:rRNA from 1 species
UGGGGGAUAUUGCACAAUGGGCGAAAGCCUGAUGCAGCGACGCCGCGUGGGGGAUGAAGGCCUUCGGGUUGUAAACUUCUUUUGCUCUGAACAAGGCAUGCUAAUGGGUGUGUUGAGUGUAGGGGUUGAUUAGCGCCGGCUAACUACGUGCCAGCAGCCGCGGUAAUACGUAGGGCGCGAGCGUUGUCCGGAAUUAUUGGGCGUAAAGGGCUAGUAGGUGGCUGGUUGCGUCUGUCGUGAAAGCUCAUGGCUUAACUGUGGGUUUGCGGUGGGUACGGGCUGGCUUGAGUGCAGUAGGUGAGGCUGGAAUUCCUGGUGUAGCGGUGGAAUGCGCAGAUAUCAGGAGGAAUACCGGUGGCGAAGGCGGGUCUCUGGGCUGUUACUGACACUGAGGAGCGAAAGCAUGGGGAGCGAACAGG